rnacentral:lncRNA from 1 species
AAUACUCAAUAGAAUAAAGUGAAGUUUCCCCUUGUGGUUUCACUUUUUCUCACUUUAGUACCAUAUGGUUUUAGGUGUAUCAAGUUAGUAUUCUGUGGUUUUACACUUUUUACUUUAGUACUCUGUGGUUUAAAGUGUAUCAAGUUAGUGCCCAAUGAUUUUGCACUUUCUCACUUUAGUACUCUGUGGUUUCGCACUUUCUCACUUUAGUACCCUGUGGUUUAAAAACUACAUGGUACUAAUUUGAUACAAAAAUAAAACCACAUGAUACUAACUUGAUACAAAAAUAAAAUCACAUAGUACUAACUUGAUACACUUUAAAUUAUAGGGUACUAAAGUGAGAAAGUACGAAACCACAUGGUACUAACUUGAUACGCUUUAAACCACAUGGUACUAGAAUAAAAAAGUACGAAAUCAUAGGGGGUUUUUGAAGUUUUUCCUAAAAUAAAAUUAUGGUUGUGAAUAAUAAUAUAGUUUAUCUUAUCUUUAUUUAUUUAUACA